UACGUAGGGGGCUAGCGUUGCUCGGAAUCACUGGGCGUAAAGCGCACGUAGGCGGAUUGUUAAGUCAGGGGUGAAAUCCUGGAGCUCAACUCCAGAACUGCCUUUGAUACUGAAGAUCUUGAGUUCGGGAGAGGUGAGUGGAACUGCGAGUGUAGAGGUGAAAUUCGUAGAUAUUCGCAAGAACACCAGUGGCGAAGGCGGCUCACUGGCCCGAUACUGACGCUGAGGCACGAAAGCGUGGGGAGCAAACAGGG
rnacentral:rRNA from 1 species